UAGGGGGCGAGCGUUGUCCGGAAUGAUUGGGCGUAAAGGGCGCGUAGGCGGCCUGCUAAGUCUGGAGUGAAAGUCCUGCUUUCAAGGUGGGAAUUGCUUUGGAUACUGGUGGGCUGGAGUGCAGGAGAGGAAAGCGGAAUUACCGGUGUAGCGGUGAAAUGCGUAGAGAUCGGUAGGAACACCAGUGGCGAAGGCGGCUUUCUGGACUGAAACUGAUGCUGAGGCGCGAAAGCGUGGGGAGCAAA
rnacentral:rRNA from 1 species